UACGGGGGGAGCAAGCGUUGUUCGGAUUUACUGGGCGUAAAGGGCGCGUAGGCGGCCAGCACAAGUCAGUUGUGAAAUCUCCGAGCUUAACUCGGAAAGGUCAACUGAUACUGUGCGGCUAGAGUGCAGAAGGGGCAACUGGAAUUCUUGGUGUAGCGGUGAAAUGCGUAGAGAUGGGGGGAGAACACUCGUGGCGAAGGCGGCCAGCUAGACCAGUUCUGACACUGAGGCGCGACAGCGUGGGGAGCAAACAGG
rnacentral:rRNA from 1 species